rnacentral:rRNA from 1 species
GCACAACGCGAAGAACCUUACCAAGGCUUGACAUCCUCUGACAGGCGUGGAAACACGCUUUUCCUUCGGGACAGGGAGACAGGUGGUGCAUGGUUGUCGUCAGCUCGUGUCGUGAGAUGUUCGGUUAAGUCCGGCAACGAGCGCAACCCUUACAAACAGUUGCCAAUAUUAAGUUAGGGACUCUGUUUGGACUGCCGUGGGUUAACACGGAGGAAGGUGGGGAUGACGUCAAAUCAUCAUGCCCCUUACGCCUUGGGCUACACACGUGCUACAAUGGCGACUACAGAGGGUUAAUCCUUAAAAGUCGUCUCAGUUCGGAUUGUCCUCUGCAACUCGAGGGCAUGAAGUUGGAAUCGCUAGUAAUCGCGGAUCAGCAUGCCGCGGUGAAUACGUUCCCGGGUCUUGUACACACCG